rnacentral:rRNA from 1 species
UACUGCUAUCAGUGUUCGAUUAAGCCAUGCGAGUUAAAUGUUCUUCGUGAACAUGGCGUACUGCUCAGUAACACGUGGAUAACCUGCCCUAAGGUCCGGCAUAACCCCGGGAAACUGGGGAUAAUACCGGAUAAACCAUAGAUACUGGAAUGUUCUGUGGUUAAAAGUUCCGGCGCCUUAGGAUGGAUCUGCGGCCUAUCAGGUAGUAGUGGGUGUAAAGUACCUACUAGCCGACGACGGGUACGGGUUGUGAGAGCAAGAGCCCGGAGAUGGAUUCUGAGACAUGAAUCCAGGCCCUACGGGGCGCAGCAGGCGCGAAAUCUUUACAAUGCGGGAAACCGCGAUAAGGGGACACUGAGUGCCAGCAUAUUAUGUUGGCUGUCCACCUGUAUAAAUCACAGGUGUUAGCAAGGGCCGGGCAAGACCGGUGCCAGCCGCCGCGGUGACACCGGCGGCCCGAGUGGUAGCCACUAUUAUUGGGUCUAAAGGGUCCGUAGCCGGUUUGAUCAGUCUUCCGGGAAAUCUGACAGCUCAACUGUUAGGCUUCCGGGGGAUACUGUCAGGCUUGGGACCGGGAGAGGUAAGAGGUACUACAGGGGUAGGAGUGAAAUCUUGUAAUCCCUGUGGGACCACCAG